GUAGCUUGGUGACAGUAGGGAGCAAGGACGAAGUGCAGCAUGGAGCAUGGAGCAAGCUAGGGUGGAGUUGGGCUAGAUCAAGUAUUCUAAGCAAGCAGGGCAAAGAGUGGAAUAAGUGUUCUAAGCAAGCUAAUAUAUGAGGGGCCAGUAAGAAGAACAAGAUCAUGAGGCAAACACUGAGCAAGGGUAGCAACAGGUAUAAAGAGUCAAAGACUAGAGCAAAAAAUUGUGAUAGUAUGUAGAAGAGAGUCGUACUGAUAACGUGUUGAGAAUGUUUAGAAAGACACAAGAGUAAUAGUAAGUCAUACACAUACUCAAGAGUAGUAGUAAGUCAUACACGCACUCAAGAAUAAUAGUAAGUCAUAUACACAAAAGGGUUUCUAAGGAAAGAGAGCUUCACAUCCAAAAAU
rnacentral:lncRNA from 1 species